AGCAGCCGCGGUAAUUCCAGCUCCAAUAGCGUAUAUUAAAGUUGCUGCAGUUAAAAAGCUCGUAGUUGAAUUUCGGGAUUAGUACGUUGGUCGUGCCUUGGUACGUACUGGUGUAACUGAUUCCCCCCUUCUGACGAACCGUCAUGCCAUUAAUUUGGUGUGGCGGGAAAUCAGGACUGUUACUUUGAAAAAAUUAGAGUGUUUAAAGCAGGCUCGCGCUUGAAUACAUUAGCAUGGAAUAAUGAAAUAGGACGUUAAUCCUAUUUUGUUGGUUUCUAGGAUCGACGUAAUGAUUAAUAGGGAUAGUUGGGGGCAUUAGUAUUCAAUUGUCAGAGGUGAAAUUCUUGGAUUUAUUGAAGACUAACUACUGCGAAAGCAUUUGCCAAGGAUGUUUUCAUUAAUCAAGAACGAAAGUUAGGGGAUCGAAAGACGAUCAGAUACCGUCGUAGUCUUAACCAUAAACUAUGCCGACUAGGGAUCGGAUGAUGUAAUUUUUAAUGACUCAUUCGGCGCCUUACGG
rnacentral:rRNA from 1 species